AAGACUUUGAGUUGGACCUGACUUGUUUCUUAGGAAAACUUUUUCUUUUGGGCUUAAACAAAACAGAGUCCAAAUCUUAACCCUCGCACCAAGAAAACGAAAAUUUCUUACGCAAUCCCGUCCAAUCUAUAUCCCUCCUGGGUUUUCUCUCUCUUACCUGACAACUUGAUGAUCUGAGCUUCGACUCACCAACUCGACUCGACUCGGCCCGACUCCGCCAUGGCGGUUCAGUUCAAAUUCCGAAGCUCCGUGAACUUCGACUCGGUCGAUAUCGACAGCCGAACCUCCAUAUCAAUUCGCGAUCUGAAAUCGAAGAUAAUUCGCCACAAGAACCUCAAUAUAUGCCAAGACACCGAUCUCGUAUUCUCUGAUGCGAUAACUGGUCAAGAGUACACUGACGAGAAUAUUCAAAUUCCGCGUGGUUCUAGCGUGAUAAUCAAGAGAGUGCCCGCAGGAUCAAUUCAUGCAGAUGUUGGCAAGCCUCACGUCAACUCAUAUCAGAAUCUUCAUAGCAAGGACUCUGUGAAUGCUAAAUCACUUGUUUCAGCGAAUGUGGAGACUGUUGACUUUGAUGACUUUGGGGUUGACUUGUUUCCCAUUCCUAGGGCAACCUUUUUCAGUUCUGAUAUGGAUGCGGACAAGGAUACCUGCAUCCUUGAUUAUGAGCCAAAUACUGACAUCAAAAGAUAUUCAGAGCAAGCUGUGGGAGGAGGCCGUAAGCUUGAAGCAAGUGGCCUUAGUGAUGCUAUUCCAGAAGGUCAUGUACAUAGUGGCGUUGAGCACACCGUACCACAGACAAAACCAAAUCCUGAAGAAGACAUGAAUCUGGAAAAGGUGGGUAGUGUGAAUCCCAUAGAUACCCGGCAUGCUGAUUUGUCAUCAGAGCUGAAAUGCUCUUUAUGCUACUCAAUUUUCAAGGAGGCCAUGAUGAUACCAUGCUGCCAGCACAGUUUUUGUGAGAAAUGCAUUUGUCAAGUGCUGCUUGAGAAGGCAAGAUGUCCGAAGUGUUUUUCGACCAAAUGCAGAGUUGAUGAUUUGCUACCGAAUGUAUCACUUAGGCAAGCAAUUGAGCAUUUCCUAGAAUCUCAAAAUUUAAUCACUGGUCCAGAUAAUGAUUGCUGCCAAUAUGCUCCAGAUGGCGAAUCUGGAAUUCAGGCAAAAGAUGUGUCUUGUGGUGGUAGUAUCUUACAAAGAGAGUCAGAGUUGCCUCAUUCUCCUGAAACAGGGAUGGGAUCUAAUCAUUUCUUCGCAGAAUCUGCUCAUAUCCCAGCCUUCAAAAAAGAUGCACCUAACCAUUUCGGUGCAAAAAACUUUCUAAAAAGACAUGGUUCUACUCGUAUCGUUGCUGAUGGCUUGGCAGCCUUUGAUGAUUGCCAAGGAGAAAGCAAGCCGAUGCAUGAGCAAGCUGAACCCACAACUAAGAAAAAGAGGCCACCUUGGGUUUGCACAGCAGGUGGUGACAAGAGUUUCUUGGGGACUGGAAAGCACAGAAAGGGGGAACGUACCUGUUACAUGUGUGGGGCUCCAGACCAUUUCAUAAGAGACUGUCCAGUUGCUUCAAGUCCACAUCCUAUGCUUCAUGCAGGAAAUGCAAUCUUUCCAGGAGCUAUGCGAGGUUAUGUACCACCACACUGGAAUGGGGCUCCCUCGCCUCAUGCCCAGCCCUUUAGAAAUCCAUAUGGAAAUCAUGUGAUGACUGCUUUUGAUACAAGUCUGGUCCCUCCUGCUCCUUUUGCUGCUCCUACAUACAUGGCAUCUAUGUAUCAUAACUCGUUUCCUGCCUUUGGUGGAUAUAUGAGGAUGCGAGGUGUCACUCCUCUUCAAGGAACGGGUGAAGACUACAAUUUAACUCAUCCAGAGUUCCCGGAUCUUCAAGGUCGGGAAAAGAGAAGAAAAUUUUCAAAUGAGAAUUCGAAGAGAGAACAAUCUCAUGAUGGUGACGAAGACUGUGAUUUAAACAAGAGGCGUUACUGUACUGGGAUAGAAAGAUUGCAUGAUCAUAAAUCUUGUAUAAACAAAGAAAAGAGUACAAGUUACUCUGAGGACGGCUCUACUAAAGGGUCCCAGAGGCAACAUCGGCAUCAUAAUCACACAGAUGAUGACAUGCUCUCAAUUGAUGGUCAGCGGAAGAGUUCUCAUUUGGUGGUUGGUGGUAGAGAUCAGAAGCAGUAUCAUCGCACAGAGAGAUCAAGUUCAGAAGUAGAUGAUAUGUCAAGUAGCAGUUGCCACAGUGAAGAGAAACACAAAUACUAUCGUAGAAGCUCCAAAAAGUAUAAGGAAAGAGGAGAGCAGUGUGGCACUGGUUCCAGCCGGAGUCAUCAUCAAAGUAUGAGUAAGAAAGAUGAUCACAGUAAAAGGAUUGAGCACGAUUUCAAAAGGCACAGUCAGAAGCAUCACAGCCACUCAGGAUCCGGCAUAGAACAGAGUGUUUCCAGUGAUAAGAAGUUGCAUAAAGGGAGCAGUCGCAGUUCUAGACAUUCUAAGCACAGUGCAAAGAGUAAUGUUGAUGAGCUGAGUCAUGACAGGUGGCAGAUGGCUAGUGGGUCCGAUGAAGAUGGUGCAGAAGGUUAUCAGUAUUGUAGACGGAAAAUAAAACACUGAAUAGAAGAAGUGCUGAUUUCUGAGAUCUGAUUGACUCGGCUUUGGGACAGUAACUAUUUGUAAAUAUCUGCUAACCCUCUUCACUUUUUUAGCUUGAUCAUAGAGGGGGAAGGCUAGCAAACAAAAGUUUUAACCAGAGCAGCAGUGGUUGGAGAAAAACUUCCCAAUCCCUGUUUCAUUGAACCCCCUCUCUCUAUCGCUCACCUUCUUUGAUAGGUGACAAUGAAACGGAGAUAGGGAAGUAUUUCUCACAAUGGUUGAUGUAGCCAUAGGGCUCGUAUACCUUUUGUUCUUCAUGAAACUUUACUUUUGCAGCCAUAUCGAAGCUGGUUGAAGGUACAUAUUUGCUUCCCCUCCCCAAAAACACCGCGGGCAGUUUUACCAAAGGCCAGAGAAGCUGCAAUGACUUCG